rnacentral:rRNA from 1 species
GUAACGCGUAAUGAAAGUAAAAUCUGUAGUUUCGGCUGCAGAUGAGGUGAGAGGGCGUAAAAACCCGCAUCAUCAACCGACCAUGCGUCUUUGACAAAAGGUUUGAGUCUGAGCAUAUCUGCUGGGACCCGAAAAGAUGGUGAACUAUGCCUGAAUAGGGCGAAGCCAGGGGAAACCCUGGUGGAGGCUCGUAGGGAUUCUGACGUGCAAAUCGAUCUUCAAAUUUGGGUAUAGGGGCGAAAGACUAAUCGAACCAUCUAGUAGCUGGUUCCCUCCGAAAUUUCCCUUAGGAUAGCUGCAACUUAUACAGUUUUAUCAGGUAAAGCGAAUGAUUAGAGGCAUCUGGGCCGAAAUGGUUUGGACCUAUUCUCAAACUUUAAAUGGGUAAGAACCGACACUUGCUUAAGUGAAGUGUCGAGUUGAAUGGAAGUUGUUAGUGGGCCAUAGCUGGUAAGCAGCUCUGGCGAUGCGGGAUGAACCGAACGUGAUGUUAAAGUGCCAGAGUGCCCGCUCAUCAGAUCCCACAAAAGUGUUGUUCAUAUA